rnacentral:misc_RNA from 1 species
UUAAGUUCAGCGGGUAUUCUUACCUGAUUUGAGGUCAAAGUUGAAAAUCGUAUACGAGUGAGCCUUGAUGUCCAAGUCAAACGUACUACACGAGAUGGCAUAUUAUCGCGCGUUUUCUUAAUCAAAAUUGAUCAUAAAUACGCUUUAAUCGUACCAAAAAAGAUGAAUUUUAAGCCACUUGACAUGAAUAACAUACAAGG